rnacentral:lncRNA from 1 species
ACAUUUUUAGUGGAGAUUUUAAAUUGUACAAACAAGAUUAGAGAUUGACAAGUACUCUAUAAAAUAUAAUAAAAUAUUAAAAAAAAAGUCAUAAUAAUUUUUUAAAAUUAACUGAUAAAAAAAUACAUCGUGGACUAAGAAAACCAUGUUGCUGCAAUCGAGGACUAAGUGAAAUCAUUUGUUGCCGACUUUAUGGUGAUGGCCGAUAGUAAAUCAGAUUCUGAGUUGCGUUAAAAGCGAAAGGGAAAACCAAUCUCAAAGAAAGCAAAGAAGCAUUAGAAGAAGACGAAUAAGGUAAAGAAAGCAUUAAAGAAGGCAAACUAGAAGGUAAGGAAGACAACUGAUCCACCAUUGAAUCAAUUGAUCAAACAGGUUCUAGACAUUGAGGGCUAUGAAUAAUCUUCUUAUGAGGCCCUUGCGACAUGGAAGCUUCACAAAAAACCGGCUUUCAUUACCUAUUCUCGAACCCAAAAUCAAGCUCAUUCCCUUUCUUAACCUCUCAAUCUUGCCCAUCACCAGCACUCUUGUUGGAUUCGCCAUUAUUUUCUGCAGCAGCCAUUGAUAAAUAUAUUCUUAAACAACCAUUGAAAAUCGCUCACUUUCUCUAAAAAUAAAAAUUUCAAUAAACCCCAAAAGCUCAAAAUCAAAGAACCCAAAUUCAAAUAAGGUCAAAUAACAAAAAAAAAAAGGAGAGAGACCGAAAUUUAGAAAUUGAAAACUGAAUUCAACAGCUAAUACUAUUGAAAAGAAUCGGAUACAAACUCAUGUUCUUGGACCCCAUCCCAAAAAUACAAAGGCCUUGGAAAU